GACAGAGGGUGCAAACGUUGUUCGGAAUUACUGGGCGUAAAGCGUGCGUAGGCGGCCAUUCAAGUCGGAUGUGAAAGCCCCGGGCUCAACCCGGGAAGUGCACCCGAAACUGGAUGGCUUGAGUAUCGGAGAGGUUGGUGGAAUUCUCGGUGUAGAGGUGAAAUUCGUAGAUAUCGAGAGGAACACCGGUGGCGAAGGCGGCCAACUGGACGAAUACUGACGCUGAGACACGAAAGCGUGGGGAGCAAACAGG
rnacentral:rRNA from 1 species